rnacentral:tRNA from 1 species
GAGGAUAUAGCUCAAAUGGUAAAGCACAUGCUCAGCAUGCAUGAGGUCCUGGGUUCAAUUCUCAGUACCUCCU